rnacentral:lncRNA from 1 species
GAAUCAGAAGGAGCCAGGGAAGGACAAAGAUUGGGGCUGAGCCCCUAUGACCCAAUGGCCAUUGGUGGCCUGGCCUUAUGGUCCCAAGACACCUGGUCCUCAGGCCAGAGACACCAUGGGCUUUGGUCGGGUCCCAGCCUCCCAGUAGUGUCCUGGCACUAGCAGGAGCUGACCCCUGAGCCACAACCGCAGUUCUGGGUUUGGGGUUUGGUAAAACCACCUCAAGGAUAAAGUCUUGGGAUCGGGUUUGCCAGGAACCAUGGUGCCUCCCAGAGAUGGUGUGUCAUUCCCACUCGCCACGAAAUGUGCACACAGGCUGUUCCCAUGUCCAUCCCAUCCCGCUGGACAGGAUGGAGGAAGUGAGGGAACAGGCAUGGUGGACAGCUGGGGUGCAGGGAGAGGCAGGUGCAUGCUGGGAGGUCAGGCCCUGCGAGGGCUGUGGAGGCAUCAGGUGGAGUGGGCUCCAGGUGCACCUUCAGUGUACUGGGCACGUCUGAGGCCAGGCUCACUGGACCCUGGACGUGUGAUGUGGUCAAUCACUGGGGGAAUGUUGUCAGGUCCCAGACACCCGCCCUGGGCAGCACUGUCUCAUCUCAGGACUGGACUUUCUGAGUCCUAAGACAAGACAGUGCUGCCCAGGCCUGACAGCCUGGGAGGACCUGUUAAGUCCUCCAUCCCUAGACUAGCCUCCCAACAGCAGGGACAGUCUCUAAUCUUCACCUUCAGGGAACUGACUGAUCCAUCUCACUCUAAGCCAGUCGAGGCAGAGCUGAGGACCUGCACCAGUCUGGGAGCCAGUCCCCUCCCCAAAUGGGCCUGAGGGAAGCACCAUCCCUGUCCCAAUCUGCCACAAGUUUCAGCCUAGGAGACACAUGGGGAAGGGAGGACGGGGCAUCCCUGCUGGCUGACACUGGAAAAGUGGGACCUGGGAGAAUGGGGAGCACAAGGCUGGCAGGGGAUGCUCCAGGCCCAUGGAGAGCUCAGGCUGCACCAUGCGGUUGCCCCUCCUGGGUGGAGUCUGUGCCCUCUACAGGAUCUGAGAAAGUCCAGUCCUGAGAUGGGACAGCGCUGCCCAGGGUAGGUAGCCGGGGCCUGAGAGCAGUCCCCCAGGGAGUGACCACAUCACCUGGCUGGGGUCCAGGGAGCUUGGGGUGAGACCCACCCAGUGCACUGAGGGUGCACCUGGAGCCCAACCCACCUGACACCCUCACAGCCUUCACAGGGUCUGACGUCCCACCAUGCACCUGCCUCUCCCUGCACCCCACUGCCCACCCUGCCUGUUCCCUGGCUUUCUCCAUCCUGUGCAGCCCAUAGACUGUGACCAUCUCUCCAGACACUCUGACCCUUUCUUCACCUUUGUCCUGUCAGAAUCUCUGAGCAACAUCUCCCAGGUCCAUCCAAACAACUGCUUUGUCUACUUUUGACCGGGCCAUUGGGCAUCACUGGGCCAUCCCAGCUGUCCAGAGGGCCCUCGAUAACGUGCAAUGCACCUGGCUUCUCCAAGCAGCGCUCAGCAGUCCCCACUGACCAGGUUCCUGCUGACCAGACCCCACACAUCAGGUCUUCCCUGACCACACCCUCACUGAUUAGAUCCCCAUCACCAGGACCCACUAACAAGACCCCUGCUUCCAGGCCAACAAUGACCAUGACUCCACUGACCAGGACCUUACUGACAAAGCCUCACGGACAAGGCCUCACUGAACAGGACCUUACUGACCAGGCCUCACUGACAAGGCCUCACUGACAAAGUCCUUACUAACAAGGCCUCACUGACCAGGACCUUAUUGACAAGGCCUCACUGACAAGGCCUCAUGGAUGAGCUCCUUACUGACAAUUCCUCACUGACCAGGACCUUAUUGACAAGGCCUCACGGACCAGGUCCUUACUGACAAGUCCUCACUGACCAGGACCUUAUUGACAAGGCCUCACUGACCAGGUCCUUACUGACAAGGCCCCACUGACAAGGCCUCAUGGACCAGGUCCUAACUGAGAAGACCUCACUGACCAGGACCUUAUUGACAAGGCCUCACUGACCAGGUCCUUACUGACAAGGCCCCACUGACAAGGCCUCACUGACAAGGUCCUUAUUGACAAGGCCUCACUGACCAGGACCUUACUGACAAGGCCUCACUGGCAAGGCCUCAUGGACCAGGUCCUUACUGACAAGGCCUCACUGACUAGGUCAUUACUGACAAGGCCUCACUGAUCAGAUUCCACUGAUCAUGACCCCAUUACCUGGCCCCACAGAUGAGGCCCCACUGACCAGGCCUCCAGGGAACAGGCUGCCACUGAUCAGGCCCCUACUAACCAGGCCUGAGGUGACCAGAUGCCCCUGACUGGGACCCUAGUGAGUAGGCCCCACUGAACAGGCACCGACUACUCAGGUCCCCGCUGACUGGGUCACCCCAUAGACCAGUGCUACAAAAGCCACCACUGACCAAGUCAUCACUGACCAGGCCCCCACUGAUGAGGUUCCAAUGACCAGGCUGCCCUGAUCAGGUCCCCACUGACAAGGGACUCACUGAUGAGGACACGCCCACCAGGCCCUGCUGACUAGGUCCCAUGUGACCAGUCCUCCACUGAAUAGCAGCCCUUGACCUGGUCACCAGUGACCCAGCCCAUGCUGACCAGGCCACCACUAAGCCCAGCUGACCAGGUCGCCACUGGUCAAGCCCCACAGCCCAGGUCUGCACUGACCAGACACCAAACAACUGGCUGCCAAUAGGUCCCCACUCGCCAAAACCCCCACUACUGGAUCCCCCUAAUGAGACCCUCCCUAAGCAGACCCCUGCUGGCCAGGCUCCCACUAAACAGGCCUCACUGACCAAGUCCCAACUGACUAGGUCCACUGAGCAGGCCCACACUGAUCAGGCCCCUCCUAACCACAUCAGAAGGCCAAGUGGCAAUCAGAUGUUUCAUAUGGCAGAAAUAGAAGCAAGACACAGAGAGAAAAGAGGUGCCACAGCCCAUUAUACAACCAGAUCACAUGAGAACUCACUAUCAGAUCAGCAUCAAAAUUAACCACUGGUGAAGGAUCCACCACACACACCACCGCCUACUGUUUCCAGGCAGAAGCCUCCUGCAGAGGCAGAGCCUCUUGGGAAACUUCCACUAUGGCAGUGCAGAAGGGAAAUAUGGGCUUGGAGCCCCCACACAGGAGGCCACCAUCCUCCAGACCCCAGAUUCAUAAGCCCACCAACAGCCCGCACCCUCAGUAUGCAAAAGCACUCAACACCAGCCCAGCCCAUGAGAGCAGCCAUGGGGGCUAAAGCCUGCAAAGCCACAGGAGCACUGCCCUAGCAGAGGUUUUCCAUGAGGAUGUGACUCUGCAGCAGGCUACUCCCGCUUCCUAAUACCCACCAUCCUCUCACCACCCUACUGACAACCCACUCCUCCCAACACUGUCCACUUUAUUUCCUUCCAACUCCAACCCCCUCCCAUCCAUGGUUAAAUCACCUUCCACCAGGCCCCAUCUCCAACAUUCAAGAUUACAAUUCACAUGAGUUUCUGUAGGGAAACACAGCCAAACCAUGUUAUUCUGACCCUGACCCCUCCGAAUCUCAUGUCCUUCUCACAGAGCAAAAUACAAUCACACCUUUUCAAAAGUUGCCAAAAGUCUUAACUCAUUCCAGCAUUAACUCAAAUGUAAAAGGUUCAACGUCUCAUCUGAGACAAGCCUACAGUCCCUUUUGCCUAUAAGUCCCUGAAUUUAAAAGGGUGUUCUUUUAAGACACAAUGAUGGUACACCCAUUGGGUAAGCUUUCUCAGUCCAACGGGAAGAAAUUUCCCAGCAAAAUAACACAGAUGGGACCACAGGACCAAUGCAAGUCCAAAACCCAGGAGACCAGUAUCCAUUCAAUCUCACUGCUCCAAAAUCAUGAAGAGAACUCACCAUCACAAGUACAGAAAUAAAGAGAUUGUGUCUAAUCAUUUGUGAAGGAGCCACCAUCACUUUUCACCCCUCACCCCCAACAUAAUCUCCCCAUUCUCCCUAUCCCCCACCUCCCAACCCCCACACUCCACCAUGAUUAAAUCACCUUCCACCAGGCCCCAACUUUAACAUUCCCCAUUACAAUUCCACACGAAUUUUGGUAGGGACACAGAGCUAAAUUUUAUUAUUCUGUCCCUGGCUCCCCAAAUCUCAUGUCCUUCUCACAUUGCAAACUACAAUGAUAGCUUCCCUACAGUCCCCCAAAGUCUUAUAUCAUUUCAUCAUUUAUACAAAUAUUCAAAGCUUAAAGUCUCAUCUAACACAAGGCUGCAGACCCUUAGGCUCAUGAGCCUCUGAAAUAUAAAGAAAGUUAACUACUUCCAAGGUACAAUGCUUAUACAGGCAAUGGGUAAGCAUUCCCAGCCAAAAGGAAUAAUUUUGCCAGAAAGAACAAAACACAGAAAGGACUUACAGACCCCAUGAAACUCCAAACCCAGAAGGCCAGUCAUUCAAUCCUACAGCUCCAAAAUUACCCUUUUUGAAACCUUGUCCCACAUCCAGGGCACAGGGAUGUAAGGGCUGGGCUCCCAAGGCCUUGGGCAGCUCUGCACCUGUGGCUUUGCAGGGUUUAUGCCCCACGGCUGUCUUCAUGGGCUGGGCUGGUGCACAGUCCUAGCAGAGGUUUUC